UGGGGAAUAUUGGGCAAUGGGGCGCAAGCCUGACCCAGCAACGCCGCGUGAGGGAAGAAGGCUUUCGGGUUGUAAACCUCUGUCCUUGGUGACGAAGGAAGUGACGGUAGCCAAGGAGGAAGCCCCGGCUAACUACGUGCCAGCAGCCGCGGUAAUACGUAGGGGGCGAGCGUUGUCCGGAAUUACUGGGCGUAAAGGGUGCGUAGGCGGUCUUUUAAGUUGGAUGUGAAAUCCCCGGGCUUAACUUGGGGUCUGCAUCCAAUACUGGGAGACUAGAGUGCAGGAGAGGGGAAGCGGAAUUCCUAGUGUAGCGGUGAAAUGCGUAGAUAUUAGGAGGAACACCAGUGGCGAAGGCGGCUUUCUGGACUGUAACUGACGCUGAGGCACGAAAGCGUGGGGAGCAAACAGGAUUAGAUACCCUGGUAGU
rnacentral:rRNA from 1 species